GAUGAACGCUGGCGGCGUGCCUAAUACAUGCAAGUCGAGCGAACAGACGAGGAGCUUGCUCCUCUGACGUUAGCGGCGGACGGGUGAGUAACACGUGGAUAACCUACCUAUAAGACUGGGAUAACUUCGGGAAACCGGAGCUAAUACCGGAUAAUAUAUUGAACCGCAUGGUUCAAUAGUGAAAGACGGUUUUGCUGUCACUUAUAGAUGGAUCCGCGCCGCAUUAGCUAGUUGGUAAGGUAACGGCUUACCAAGGCGACGAUGCGUAGCCGACCUGAGAGGGUGAUCGGCCACACUGGAACUGAGACACGGUCCAGACUCCUACGGGAGGCAGCCGUAGGGAAUCUUCCGCAAUGGGCGAAAGCCUGACGGAGCAACGCCGCGUGAGUGAUGAAGGUCUUCGGAUCGUAAAACUCUGUUAUUAGGGAAGAGCAAAUGUGUAAGUAACUAUGCACGUCUUGACGGUACCUAAUCAGAAAGCCACGGCUAACUACGUG
rnacentral:rRNA from 1 species